AGUGAACGCUGGCGGUAGGCCUAACACAUGCACGUCGAACGGCAGCACAGUAAGCGCUUGCUCUUACGGGUGGCGAGUGGCGGACGGGUGAGGAAUACAUACGAAUCUACUUUUUCGUGGGGGAUAACGUAGGAAAACUUACGCUAAUACCGCAUACGACCUACUGGUUAAAUCAGGAGAUCUUCAGACAUUUCGCGAUUGAAUGAGCCGAUGGCGGAUUAGCUAGUUGGCGGGGUAAAGGCCCACCAAGGCGACGAUCCGUAGCUGGUCUGAGAGGAUGAUCAGCCACACUGGAACUGAGACACGGUCCAGACUCCUACGGGAGGCAGCAGUGGGGAAUAUUGGACAAUGGGCGCAAGCCUGAUCCAGCCAUACCGCGUGGGUGAAGAAGGCCUUCGGGUUGUAAAGCCCUUUUGUUGGGAAAGAAAAGCAGCAGGUUAAUACCCCGCUGUUCUGACGGUACCCAAAGAAUAAGCACCGGCUAACUUCGUG
rnacentral:rRNA from 1 species